rnacentral:rRNA from 1 species
GUAGGUGGCGAGCGUUGUCCGGAAUUAUUGGGCGUAAAGCGCGCGCAGGGCGGUCCUUUAAGUCUGAUGUGAAAGCCCACGGCUCAACCGUGGAGGGUCAUUGGAAACUGGGGGACUUGAGUACAGAAGAGGAAAGCGGAAUUCCAAGUGUAGCGGUGAAAUGCGUAGAGAUUUGGAGGAACACCAGUGGCGAAGGCGGCUUUCUGGUCUGUAACUGACGCUGAGGCGCGAAAGCGUGGGGAGCAAACGGGAUUAGAUACCCUGGUAGUCCACGCCGUAAACGAUGAGUGCUAAGUGUUAGGGGGUUCCGCCCCUUAGUGCUGCAGCUAACGCAUUAAGCACUCCGCCUGGGGAGUACGGCCGCAAAGGCUG